rfam:Trichobilharzia regenti genome assembly, scaffold: TRE_scaffold0059291
AUCCAGAUGACGAGUCCCAAAUACGAUAAAAUGCGCAUCCUGGAU